CUAAUACAUGCAAGUCGAGCGAACAGAUAAGGAGCUUGCUCCUUUGACGUUAGCGGCGGACGGGUGAGUAACACGUGGGUAACCUACCUAUAAGACUGGGAUAACUUCGGGAAACCGGAGCUAAUACCGGAUAACAUUUGGAACCGCAUGGUUCUAAAGUGAAAGAUGGUUUUGCUAUCACUUAUAGAUGGACCCGCGCCGUAUUAGCUAGUUGGUAAGGUAACGGCUUACCAAGGCAACGAUACGUAGCCGACCUGAGAGGGUGAUCGGCCACACUGGAACUGAGACACUGUCCAGACUCCUACGGGAGGCAGCAGUAGGGAAUCUUCCGCAAUGGGCGAAAGCCUGACGGAGCAACGCCGCGUGAGUGAUGAAGGUCUUCGGAUCGUAAAACUCUGUUAUUAGGGAAGAACAUAUGUGUAAGUAACUGUGCACAUCUUGACGGUACCUAAUCAGAAAGCCACGGCUAACUACGUGCCAGCAGCCGCGGUAAUACGUAGGUGGCAAGCGUUAUCCGGAAUUAUUGGGCGUAAAGCGCGCGUAGGCGGUUUUUUAAGUCUGAUGUGAAAGCCCGCGGCUCAACCGUGGAGGGUCAUUGGAUACUGGAAAACUUGAGUGCAGAUAGAGGAUAGUGGAAUUCCAUGUGUAGCGGUGAAAUGCGCAGAGAUAUGGAGGAACACCAGUGGCGAAGGCGACUUU
rnacentral:rRNA from 1 species